GAGCAAGAGCAAGAGAGAGGCCAAAACAAACCCCGCCGCGAGUCCAUAUCUCUACCUUUUACCCGUGUUUUACGCCGCCAAGAUGAGCGAGACGAGUGCCGUGGUGAAGCCACUCCGCGCCGUCUGUGCUCUGAAGAACAGAAGAAAGGAAGGAAGGCCAUCUUGGAAGACUCCAGGACCAGUCACCCCAGUCCAAGGAAAGGUCGCAAGAGGUCAAGGAGGUCACAGUACGAAGGAGCAGUCCAGUCCGUUGUAAAGUUACUGGAAAAGGAAGGAAAGGAUAGGGAAGGAAAUGAAAGAAAAGGGAAGGGAGGGGAAGGAACAGAGAAGUGUAUACAUAGUUAAGCUUAAAGUCACAUACAGUUAGAUACAUACAGCUAGAUACAUACAGUUACACUCACAUAGAUUUACAUACAGUUUUGAUGGUGCGUUUGACGAAGGCGGUUGACUCAGUGGGUAGCGGACUGGCCCGGCCCAUGGUGUUAUGGACGCUCUCAACACAAGUACAGUAAACCCUCAAUAUAACGGACUAAUUUAUUUAUUUAUUUUUUUUUUUUUUUUUUUCACAUCAGAGGACACGUCUCAAGGGCAAUAGUCCCAAAAAAAGCCCGCUACUCGCCGCUCUCUCUCUUUCUUAUUGGUAAAUUUCUUCUGCUCUUUCGUUAUUUAUUUUCCUUCUCUCAUCUCUCUCCUUCCCUUACCUCCUCUCUCUCUUAUUCUUCUCAUUACGUUCUCUCUCUCUCCCUCUUUACCUCUUCCUCUCUCAUAGGAAUAUAACACACAAACAUUACAAAUUAACUUUUUAUUAAUAGAAAAACACACAUACAUACAUACACAUAGUAACAUUGAUAAGGCUAUGUUGGCUAGGUGGGGAGGGAGGGAGGAGGGGGUCCUUCAUGAGGCUGGGGGGUAUGUGUCUGUGGGGGGUUGUCAACAUACUGUGGGGUCCUGUGAGCUGUGGUGAGAGAGAGAGAGAGAGAGAGAGAGAGGGGGGGGGGGGCACCUCUCUAUCUCACCUCUCGAGUCUCUCACUCACUCACUCUAUGAUCUAAUGUAUAUAGUUAUGCAUAUGUUGUAUUAUAUGUAUGUAGCUAAUGUAUGUUGUAUGGACUAAUAAAAAUGAAAAACAUAUAAAAAGGUGUUUGUCAUAUGUGUGUGUGUGUGUGUGUACUCUUCUCUUCUUCCAUUCUUCCUCCUCCUCUUGUUCUUGUUCUUGUUCUUCUUCUUCCAUUCCUCCUCCUCUUCUUCUUCUUCUUCUGAUCUUCUGUUGCAAUUAUCAUCUUCUUCCUUCUCCUCCUCUUCCUCUUCUUCUUCUUCUUGGUCCCAGCAUCAUCACACACCUGAGGAGAAUAACUCUAUUAAUGGAUUGGAGAGAGAGAGAGAGAGAGAGAGAGAGAGAGAGAGAGAGAGAGAGAGAGAGAGAGAGAGAGA